rnacentral:rRNA from 1 species
CUACGGGCGGCUGCAGUGGGGAAUAUUGCACAAUGGAGGAAACUCUGAUGCAGCAACGCCGCGUGGAGGAUGACACUUUUCGGAGCGUAAACUCCUUUUAUAUAGGAAGAUAAUGACGGUACUAUAUGAAUAAGCACCGGCUAACUCCGUGCCAGCAGCCGCGGUAAUACGGAGGGUGCAAGCGUUACUCGGAAUCACUGGGCGUAAAGAGCGUGUAGGCGGAUAGAUAAGUCAGGAGUGAAAUCCUAUGGCUCAACCAUAGAACUGCUCUUGAAACUGUCUAUCUAGAAUAUGGGAGAGGUAGAUGGAAUUUCUGGUGUAGGGGUAAAAUCCGUAGAGAUCAGAAGGAAUACCGAUUGCGAAGGCGAUCUACUGGAACAUUAUUGACGCUGAGACGCGAAAGCGUGGGGAGCAAACAGGAUUAGAUACCCGCGUAGUC